rnacentral:rRNA from 1 species
CACGUAGGGUGCGAGCGUUGUCCGGAAUUAUUGGGCGUAAAGAGCUCGUAGGCGGUGUGUCGCGUCGGCCGUGAAAACCUGCAGCUUAACUGUGGGCUUGCGGUCGAUACGGGCAUCACUGGAGUUCGGCAGGGGAGACUGGAAUUCCUGGUGUAGCGGUGAAAUGCGCAGAUAUCUGGAGGAAUACCGGUGGCGAAGGCGGCAUCCUGGACCGACAUUGACGCUGAUGAGCGAAAGCUAGGGGAGCAAACGGG